rnacentral:rRNA from 1 species
GACGAACGCUGGCGGCGUGCCUAAUACAUGCAAGUUGAGCGAUGAAGAUUUGUUCUUUCACCAAUUUGAAUAGCAGCGGACGGGUGAGUAACGCGUGUGGAAUCUGCCUUUGAGCGGGGGACAACAUUUGGAAACGAAUGCUAAUACCGCAUAAUAACUUUAAACAUAAGUUUUAAGUUUGAAAGAUGCAAUUGCAUCACUCAAAGAUUAUCCCGCGUUGUAUUAGCUAGUUGGUGAGGUAAAGGCUCACCAAGGCGAUGAUACAUAGCCGACCUGAGAGGGUGAUGGGCCAAAAUGGGAAUGGGACAAGGGCCAAAAUCAUACGGGAGGGAGCAGUAGGGAAACGUCGGAAAUGGACGAAAGUCUGAACGAGAAAAGACGAGUGAGUGAAGAAGGUUUUCGGAUCGUAAAACUCUGUUGGUAGAGAAGAAAGUUGGUGAGAGUGGAAAGCUCAUCAAGUGACGGUAACUACACAGAAAGGGACGGCUAACUACGUG